rnacentral:rRNA from 1 species
AUGAGUCUUCUAGUGUGGAACUAUCACGGAGCAGGCAAACCCGCGACAGUCCGAGAGCUUUGUGAUAUGACGAGGCAGUUUGCCCCCUCAAUGUUAUGUAUUGUUGAAACCCAAAUAGGUGGAACCAGAGUUGAGAGUCUAGCAAAUACUAUAGGCUUUGAUAGUAGCUUUGCAGUCAGUAGUACUGGUAGGAGUGGAGGUCUUGCAUUUUUUGAAUAA